UGGGGAGUAGCCAAGGGGUAAGGCAACGGACUUUGACUCCGUGAUGCGCAGGUUCGAAUCCUGCCUCCCCAG
rnacentral:tRNA from 1 species